rnacentral:rRNA from 1 species
GACGAACGCUGGCGGCGUGCUUAACACAUGCAAGUCGAGCGGUAAGGCCCUUUCGGGGGUACGACGAGCGGCGAACGGGUGAGUAACACGUGGGUGACCUGCCCUCCAGCUCUGGGAUAAGCCUGGGAAACUGGGUCUAAUACCGGAUAUGACUCCAUGACGCAUGUUGUGGGGUGGAAAGCCUUGUGCGGCUGAGGAUGGGCCCGCGGCCUAUCAGCUUGUUGGUGGGGUGAUGGCCUACCAAGGCGACGACGGGUAGCCGGCCUGAGAGGGCGACCGGCCACACUGGGACUGAGACACGGCCCAGACUCCUACGGGAGGCAGCAGUGGGGAAUCUUGCGCAAUGGGCGAAAGCCUGACGCAGCGACGCCGCGUGAGGGAU